rnacentral:rRNA from 1 species
GCGUUUCCGGCAUAUUGGGUUUAAAGGGUCCGUAGGCGGUUUAGUAAGUAGUGGUGAAAGCCCAUCGCUCAACGGUGGAACGGCCAUUGAUACUGCUAGACUUGAAUUAUUAGGAAGUAACUAGAAUAUGUAGUGUAGCGGUGAAAUGCUUAGAGAUUACAUGGAAUACCAAUUGCGAAGGCAGGUUACUACUAAUGGAUUGACGCUGAUGGACGAAAGCGUGGGGAGCGAACAGGAUUAGAUACCCUGGUAGUCCACGCCGUAAACGAUGGAUACUAGCUGUUGGGGGCAAUUUCAGUGGCUAAGCGAAAGUGAUAAGUAUCCCACCUGGGGAGUACGUUCGCAAGAAUGAAACUCAAAGGAAUUGACG